GGGGGCGUAUGGACUCGACGGGGGUAGUGAAACUCAGGUUGCAUGCCGUGGCGCCGUCACCACGUAAAAAGGCGGUAAACCUACAAACGCCAACAACGAACUGGCACUCGCUGCUUAAUUAAACGCAGCGCGCCGUCUGUGGGAAGCCUGCUACCACAGACAGGCGUCGGCAAGCAGGCUGGUUCACCUGCCGUUCCUCCCGGUAGAUGAACGAGAGUUCAGGAGGAUGGGGUUUUGAGAAGCCCUUCUGCCGGCGGCUCAUAACCCGAGAUCUAAAAGGCAGAAUAAGCAUGUAGAUGCCUGAGCGGAUCACUUCCGGACGCGGGUUCGAUUCCCGCCGCCUCCACCA
rnacentral:tmRNA from 1 species